CACGAACGCUGGCGGCAUGCCUAACACAUGCAAGUCGAACGAGACCUUCGGGUCUAGUGGCGCACGGGUGCGUAACGCGUGGGAACCUGCCCUUAGGUUCGGAAUAACUCCCCGAAAGGGGUGCUAAUACCGGAUAAUGUCUUCGGACCAAAGAUUUAUCGCCUUUGGAUGGGCCCGCGUUGGAUUAGCUAGUUGGUAGGGUAAAAGCCUACCAAGGCGACGAUCCAUAGCUGGUCUGAGAGGAUGAUCAGCCACACUGGGACUGAGACACGGCCCAGACUCCUACGGGAGGCAGCAGUGGGGAAUAUGGAACAAGGGGCGAAAGCCUGAUCCAGCAAUGCCGCGUGAGUGAUGAAGGCUUUAGGGUUGUAAAGCUCUUUUACCCGGGAUGAUAAUGACAGUACCGGGAGAAUAAGCGCCGGCUAACUCCGU
rnacentral:rRNA from 1 species